UGGGGAAUAUUGCACAAUGGGGGAAACCCUGAUCCAGCGACGCCGCGUGACGGAAGAAGGUUUUGGAAUCGUAAACCUCUGCCCUAUGAGAAGAUAAUGACGGUAUCUUAGGAGGAGGCCCCGGUUAAAUACGUGCCAGCAGCCGCGGUAAUACGAAUGGGGCGAGCGUUGUCCGGAAUUAUUGGGCGUAAAGGGUACGUAGGCGGUCUAUUAAGUCAGGUGUGAAAGCGUGAGGCUUAACCUCAUUAAGCACUUGAAACUGAUAGACUUGAGUGAAGGAGAGGAAAGUGGAAUUCCUAGUGUAGCGGUGAAAUGCGUAGAUAUUAGGAGGAAUACCGGUGGCGAAGGCGACUUUCUGGACUUUUACUGACGCUCAGGUACGAAAGCGUGGGGAGCAAACAGG
rnacentral:rRNA from 1 species